rnacentral:misc_RNA from 1 species
CCCAACACUGAGAGGCAACCAGCACCUACAACCCAGAGCAUUACAAUACACAGAGAUCUGAUCCUUACAAAGAGCAGCUUCAAAGAUGGCAGAAAACUUUAAUUCCCCCCCAAGGAUAACAGAAUGUGGAACAAAUAUCAUAAUUACAAACGGUCACGCGGAGCAGUAGAGGGUGACAGAUGGCAUUCUGGUAGCCGCUCCACACAUGGUUCCCGGGGCAGUGGACACCACACCUCACAACAUCACACAACUCAGCAGACCAGACACCAUCAGAAUAGCUUCCAGUCAUCACACAACUCGGGAUACCAUCAUCUCCCCGAGGGCCCCACCCACACAGCCCCUCCCUUGGCACCGAACCCCUACCACCGGUCAUCCUACAAUGGAAGUGUCCAGAUUUAAUACUUUGCCCAAAUGAUUUUGAGUUCCAACUCUCGAAGUCACAUAGAUCCAUCAAAACGCCUGUCAUCUGGGUCUCGCUAUGCUCCCCCGUCCCGUCCGUCACCGGCACCAAGUGACCAAUCAGGAAGCAGAAGCAUCAACAGCAGCAUGACCUCGGAAACUGUCCCGCAACAUGUCCGACCACCAGCUGGCUACACCUCCGACCUGUGUACAGAGUUAUGAUAGGGGACAAGAGGGGUGGAUUUCUGCCAGAGUGGCGCUGGACCUGUGAGAGAGGCUUGUUGCCAAGCAACAGAUGGAGAGAGAGAUGACAUGCAAGAUAUGGAAUAAUCAUUGUAUCUUGUUUCUACGGGUAGUAGAACCUGCUGUCAUUACAUUGGAAGGCAUGAUCAUAGUGAAACACAGGAUUGAAAAUUGACAAGCCAUAACAUCAGUUUUUGUUACAUCUUGUACAUUGUGAGGUCACAGGGCAGAACACUCAACACAUUCAGGGAUAAACUAUCAACGUGAAGCUUGUGGCCUUUUUGGUCAACAGUCACCUGUAAGAAUGGAUGUUGCCACAAGUUGUGAUCCUGUCUUACAAAAUGUAACUCUAGUCACCUCACUCUUGUCCUGUCUCUCUCUGUGUUGCUAGGCAACAAGAGGUGUGUGGAUGGAUGACUGUGUGAAUGGAUUUAAUGGAAGAGGAUUGGCACUCAUAGUUGUGGUGACUGUCAUGACUUGGGUUUUCAUGGUAACUCCAGGAGUAUCUCCCCUUGCAGGUAACUGACAGGUAUGAACACUUAGUUCACAGGAGAUAUUCAUCACAACCAUGUCUUGCACUGUAAGCAACUCACUCAAGGGGAGAUAGAUCUAGGAACUAAGGCAUCAUGGACGGCCUUGUUUGUGGAGGCAGAUGCUGCUUCCUAUAUUAAAGUUGUUAAAUUUGCUGUCUAAAAGGUGAUAUUGAUCGUGUUUCUACAUUCUUCUUCUGUGGACAUUGAUCAGACAGUAUCUAUGUUGAUCUCAUGUUAUAUGGGACACGUGUCAGUGAGAGGCUGGUCUGGUGUCAGUUCUGUAUCAGCAUCAUGUCCGAUUCAGGUUGGUAGAUAUACUUCUGAUCAGGAUCAGUUCUCUAUCAUUUCUGUAUCUGGUCUUGCAUGAGUUACGUACCAGGACGGGUAUUUAUCAGUAUCAUACUCGGUUGAGAUGCAAAGAUACACAGAUCUGAUACUGAAUUUUGUUUAGAAAAUAAAUUUGUGAUUAAUCUAUAAUGAUAUAUCAGUAAGUUCAAUGUUAACUGUAUAAUUAUAUGUAUUGUGAUAUGCGUCCAGCCUUAUCUAUCUAGUUACACCCUCCAAGGUCAUGCAUAUCCUCCAAGGUCAAAUCCAGCUCCAGUCAGAGGAGACUCCAAUUGGGCAAGAAUGUUUGACUUAUGGUAUCUGAUAAAAUAUUAACACUUGUAAGAACUUUUUAAGUCUUCUUUACUAAUAGCUGAGAGCCAUGUAUUAGCCAUGCUGUGUGUUCUCUGUGGUGGACUGUAGUCAACUGUAGCAAUUGUGCGAUAGUAGCCGUAACUGAAGGAGUAAUACUCGGUUGUGUACACCUCACAACUACUUAUUGAAUCUGGUCUACACAGUGUAUGUAAUUUAUUCAAGCAUGUAUUUAUGUCUUCCUGUGUAUUGGAGCAUAUUCACUAGCUGAAGGUAAUGUUAGACUAGUGCUGCGAGACAACUCACAUUCCAGCGUUCUGGCGAGGGACCCAAGGUUCCUGCCAGCUUGGUUAAAUCAGCCAUCUUGGUUUUCUGUCAGUGGUAUUUUGGGGAGACCCCCGGGCUUGUCAUGAGAAAAUAGGUUGAGGUUUUGUGGUGAAGACAGCUAUGCCACGUGUAAAUGUGGAUGUUUUAUAUGCUGGGAAACAUUUUCACAUGCUACUGUCAGAAUUGCUUGGUAUAAGAGGAUAUUAGAACAUAUGUUUGCAACUUUUCCAUAUUUAACAGAAAAAUUAUGUCAGUUUGAAAUGUUCUAAAUUGAAUUAUCAUACUAGAGAGCUUUAAUUUGGUUUUGUACGUAUCAUGUACUAGACCAGCAAAUUUUUCAGUAGGAAUAACACAUCGUCAGUUCUGACACUGAAUGUGUGUAAAUAUAUGUAUCCCACUUGUAGGAAUGUUACAGCUAUAAGUCAUGGCUAGAACAUGAACCAGCUGUCAUACAGGUAACCUUCCUGGGAAGUGUACAUACUUGCUGCUUAGUGCAUGCCAAACAGGGCCACCCCAUGGUUGGCAACCAUGGAUGAGCUCGUCCGAUGUCAAACAUUGUGAUUCCUGGUCAAGUAGCAGGAUAUGCUUCCUGUAUUUCAGCAUUCAGUCAGUAUUUGUAAUAUUUGAGGCAAUAUUUAUUUCACCACCAAAUAUUUGUAUAUUUGCAAGGUAAUGCUAUGUUGAACUUUAGAAAUGAAAUUGGAUAUAGAGAUUUUACAUCACUAAUUGUUACAAUGUAUACAGGUAGGUUGUUGCUGUUGUCCCUGCCACCAGCUCUCAGCAUGGAUGUGCAUCUAUCUGUUCCAAAGUAUAUAGUUUCAAGCAUGCAGUCAGUGAUAGUAUUGUCCAAACAACCACUUAGAAAACCAUAGAUACACUCUCAUUGUUGCCAUAUUGAGGAAUUGUUAAAUAUUGAGAAAAUAAAUGAAGUCCUACUGAUUUGCUUGGAAUGUUUCAAAUACAUGUUGAAAAUUAAAUCUGUUCUGAUGUCAAAUUUAAUUUUAAUUUAGAUCAGUUGAUAUCAUAUUGAUAAGGUGCAGUUCGUAACACUUUAGACAAUGUCAAUUAGUCUCACAGUUAGAGCAUCCUGUUGUUGGCUUGACAGAUGCUCCACUGAAUUGUCCCACUGACUCAAACAGUUGCUUCUUGGAUUACCUGACCAAUAUGGGAAUAACCCUCACGGAUAUUUUACAUCUUGUAGACUACUUCCAUAUCUUUAUAAAAUACAGGACCACAGAAAAGGGAAUAAUUACUGUGAAUCGCUGAAAUUAUAGGGCAAAGGCAUUCAAGCCAUUUCAGUUAUAGAAUAUCAAGAUGCACAUUAGCUUUGCUUUUAUACAUUUCAGUUUUUCAAAAAUGUUUG